rnacentral:rRNA from 1 species
GUCUGCUGGAAAGCAUGCGCUAGAAGGAAAGAUGAAAAGAACCUUGAAAAGGGGGUUAAAAGUACGUGAAAUUGUUAUUAGGAAAGCACUUAAUCUCAUUGUGGAUUAAAUCAGUCUGUUUCGGCAGAUACUGUUUUAAUUAGUUAUGAUCAGUUAAGGUUGAUAAAGAAAAUUUGUAACAAGGUAUUAGUGUAGUGCUAAACUUACAGGUUACUUAUUAUUUGUCGAUAUUGACUGAGGAAUGCUACUUAAUCUUUUCUGGUUAAUAGUUUAUGGAGUUAAGCUAAACAACAUGUUGAUUAGUUUAAUUAAAGUGAUCUAUUGAUUUUAAAACUUGAGUACAGGAUCAUAAUUAAAUGAUAUUAAAUGACCCGUCUUGAAACACGGACCAAGGAGUCUAACAUGAUUGCGAGUUACAGGGUGACAAACCUUUGAGCGCAAUGAAAGUGAUAAAGAUAGGAUAGGUAACACUUGCACUAUCAACCUAAACUGAUGAUUCUUCUGACGUUUUAGAGUUAGAGCAGUCAUGUUGGGACCCGAAAGAUGGUGAGCUAUGCUUGAAUAGGGCAAAGCCAGAAGGAAACUCUGGUGGAAGGCUCGUAGCGAUUUCUGACCGUUCAAAUCGAUCUGUCCAAAG